UACGAAGGGGGCUAGCGUUGCUCGGAAUCACUGGGCGUAAAGGGUGCGUAGGCGGGUCUUUAAGUCAGGGGUGAAAUCCUGGAGCUCAACUCCAGAACUGCCUUUGAUACUGAAGAUCUUGAGUCCGGGAGAGGUGAGUGGAACUGCGAGUGUAGAGGUGAAAUUCGUAGAUAUUCGCCAAGAACACCAGUGGCGAAGGCGGCUCACUGGCCCGGUACUGACGCUGAGGCACGAAAGCGUGGGGAGCAAACAGG
rnacentral:rRNA from 1 species